rnacentral:rRNA from 2 species
UUCGCAAUGCCCGAAAGGGUGACGAAGCGACGCCGCGUGGGUGAGGAAGGCCCUCGGGUUGUAAAGCCCUGUCAGGAGUUAAGAAAUGUAGACUCGCUAAUAUCGGGUCUAUUUGACAAAGGCUCCAAAGGAAGCCACGGCUAACUCUGUGCCAGCAGCCGCGGUAAUACAGAGGCGGCAAGCGUUGUUCGGUAUUAUUGGGCGUAAAGAGCGCGUAGGCGGCUUUGUAAGUCAGGUGUGAAAGCCAUCUGUUCAAAGGAAGAACGGCAUCUGAAACUGCAGAUCUUGAGUGUAGGAGGGGAGAGUGGAACUUCUGGUGGAGCGGUGAAAUGCGUAGAUAUCAGAAGGAACGUCGGCGGCGAAAGCGAUUCUCUGGCCUAUUACUGACACUCAGUGUGCGAAAGCUAGGGGAGCAAACGGGAUUAGAUACCCCGGUAGUCCUAGCCGUAAACGAUGGGCACUAAGUAGAGGGGUUUU